CGCGUAGGCGGCGGGUCAAGUCGGCUUGUGAAAGCCCGGGGCUCAACCUCGGAGGUGCAGCCGAGACUGAUCUGCUCGAGGCCGGAAGAGGAGGGUGGAAUACCCAGUGUAGAGGUGAAAUUCGUAGAUAUUGGGUGGAACACCGGUGGCGAAAGCGGCUCUCUGGUCCGGACCUGACGCUGAGGCGCGAAAGCGUGGGGAGCAAACA
rnacentral:rRNA from 1 species